rnacentral:rRNA from 1 species
ACCUACGGGGCGCAGCAGUGGGGAAUAUUGGGCAAUGGGCGCAAGCCUGACCCAGCAACGCCGCGUGAAGGAAGAAGGCUUUCGGGUUGUAAACUUCUUUUGACAGGGAAGAGCAGAAGACAGUACCUGUAGAAUAAGCUCCGGCUAACUACGUGCCAGCAGCCGCGGUAAUACGUAGGGAGCAAGCGUUAUCCGGAUUUAUUAGGUGUAAAGGGUGCGUAGACGGAGAAGCAAGUUAGUUGUGAAAUCCCUCGGCUUAACUGAGGAACUGCAACUAAAACUACUUCCCUUGAGUACUGGAGAGG